rnacentral:RNase_P_RNA from 1 species
GGAGUCGGCCGGGCGGCCGCGGCGCGGGCCAAGCCUACGUCGAGGAAAGUCCGGACUCCACAGGGCAGGGUGCUGGGUAACGCCCAGGCGGGGUGACCCGCGGAAAGUGCCACAGAAACAGACCGCCGACGCCGCAGACGGCUCGCCGCCGAGGUGCCGGCAAGGGUGAAACGGUGAGGUAAGAGCUCACCAGCGGCCGGGUGACCGGCCGGCUCGGCAAACCCCACCCGGAGCAAGGCCAAGCAGGGAGCGGGUGGCCCGCCCGAUGCUCCCGGGUAGGCUGCACGAGGACCGCGGCGACGCGGUCCCCAGAGGGAUGGUCGCCACCCGGCGCCGGCUCGACCGGAUCGCCGGGAACAGAAUCCGGCUUACAGGCCGGCCCCUCCA